UACGUAGGCAGCAAGCGUUGUUCGGAGUUACUGGGCGUAAAGGGUGUGUAGGCGGUUCCUUAAGUUUGUUGUGAAAUCUCCCGGCUUAACCGGGAGGGUGCGGCGAAUACUGAGGGACUAGAGUACGGGAGAGGAAAGUGGAAUUCCUGGUGUAGCGGUGAAAUGCGCAGAUAUCAGGAAGAACACCCGUGGCUAAGGCGGCUCUCUAGUACGGUACUGACGCUGAGACGCGAAAGCGUGGGGAGCGAACAGG
rnacentral:rRNA from 1 species